UACGUAGGGGGCUAGCGUUGUCCGGAUUUAUUGGGCGUAAAGAGCGUGUAGGCGGCCAGGUAGGUCUGCUGUGAAAACUCGAGGCUUAACCUCGAGAUGUCGGCGGAAACCAUCUGGCUAGAGUCCGGAAGAGGAGAGUGGAAUUCCUGGUGUAGCGGUGAAAUUCGUAGAUAUUCGGAAGAACACCAGUGGCGAAGGCGGCUCACUGGACCGGCAUUGACGCUGAGGUGCGAAAGCGUGGGGAGCAAACAGG
rnacentral:rRNA from 1 species